ACAACGAAGAGUUUGAUCCUGGCUCAGGAUGAACGCUAGCGACAGGCUUAACACAUGCAAGUCGAGGGGCAGCAUGAUUUGUAGCAAUACAGAUUGAUGGCGACCGGCGCACGGGUGAGUAACGCGUAUGCAACUUACCUAUCAGAGGGGGAUAGCCCGGCGAAAGUCGGAUUAAUACCCCAUAAAACAGGGGUCCCGCAUGGGAAUAUUUGUUAAAGAUUCAUCGCUGAUAGAUAGGCAUGCGUUCCAUUAGGCAGUUGGCGGGGUAACGGCCCACCAAACCGACGAUGGAUAGGGGUUCUGAGAGGAAGG
rnacentral:rRNA from 1 species